AAAAAAAAAUGUCAAAAUAAUUUAAAAAAUAAAAAAAAGGAAGGUAGAGAGAGGACUGGGUUUAAGUAAAAGAUGGUUGAUUACUUAAGAGGAAAGGUAGUCAGAAGUUAAAAAGGUAGAGGCUCUGGAAUUAGCAUUCAUUCCACCAAGUUGAUUCGUUGUUUUCAACAAAAAACAUAAUUGUUUUUCUUAUCAUCGAAAGAAGAAGAAGAAGAAGAAGAGGAAGAUUAAAUCUACAACUUUGAUUUCAGUUAUAGAUAUUGUAGUAUAUGUAUAUCUGAUAAUAAAAAAUACUAGGUGAGGAAAGGAGAGUUUCCAGGCUAUAGUGAGCGAUGGUGGAGGAUAAAGGCAUCCCUGAUAGUGAAAGCAAAGAAUCGAGUCCCCCGUCGCCGGUAGUCAAGAAGAAAGGCAAGAGUCCUCUAUAGCAAUUGGAAUGCAAUCUUAGUAUUCACGGGGACGAAUUCGAGAAGAGGCUUGAACACAUUUCCAAGGAAGAGACCGCUGUUCUCGUGCGAAUGAUAAAAAGAUCCCAGUCUUGGAGGAGAAUGAUUGGGCAUCUCAUUCCUUUUGGAGGUUUGCGACUGGUGGAGGCGACCGCAGUUGCAGAUUUUUACUAGCAUGCGUAGACUACAAUGAUAUGACCAGAGACUAUCUAAUUUUUUUGACAAACAGCAUCUUCUGUUUGUGUAUAUGUAAAUCGGUCUAUUAUCUUUUGUUCUUGAAUAUCACUGUUUUUGCAUUGUCUUAAAUGCAGGUUCGAAUAUGGAACAUGAAAUCUGUUGGCAGGGACUUGGAAAAUGAUGAAUCUACAAUUGCAACCUUGCGAGAUCAUUUUGGGUUUGUUAACUGUGUUAGGUGGGCUAAGCAUGGUUGAUUUUUGUAUCAAGGUUUGAUGAUCAAGUGGUUCUAAUUCAUGAGAGAAAGCCUGGUCUUGGGAUGACUGAUUUCGGCAGCAGAAAGCCCCCAGAUGUUGAAAAUUGGAAAGUUGCAAUGACGUUGAGGGGACACACUGCAUAUGUGGCAAUGAUAUUGUUUUUAAUGUUAGAACAUAGAGCCACUGAUAAGAGCUAACUCUUUAUCAUUGUGUUGCAUGUUGAUUGAUUUUUCAUUCUUGAAAAAGCAUCUAAUUUUACCUGGAAACUCAGUUUUUGCAACAUUUUCUCAGUACAAAUUUGCUAAUGGCUAUAGUUUUUAAGUAUGUGUUUAUUUUGAUUUUGUAAGAAGGGAGGAGGGGUUGAGGGUUGGAAAGAAGGUAAAGAAGAAAGAAUACAAGGUCGAAAUCCUCUACUGUAAUGUCAUAUGUAGCCCCCUUAAUUUAUUGUAUUGGUUUCUGAUAAGCAUUGGAUAUUAUGUGACUGAAAACUUUCUUUUAUUCUGCGCUUGAAGUAGGUGGAUCUUAAUUGGUCUCCUGACUGGAUUUAGUUUUAAUUGUUUUCUGCAUGAUUGAAUUAAUCUGUGCUUUUAGAAAAGGAAGCACAAGUGGAUGAAGAUUAAUGAAGAAUGAUAGAGUCAAAGGUCUUCUAUGUCACCAAAUACCACCAUGUCAGCUAAGAUCAUAGCUUAGAGUUUAUGCUGAGACAUUCUACUUCUGCACAGACAAAGUACACCGAAACACACACAGAAAACACAUACACACAAAGGCAAGCAUGCAUACUAGGCAGACAUGUACAAUUCAAAUUCAUCUGCUGUGUAUUAACUAUAAAUACAUUCCAAUGCUGACUUGAUGAUUAUUGUUGGUGGGAAUAUGCCUAAAAAAUCAGUCAUUUUCGAACUUUCAUUAUUCGAACGUGGCAUUCAUUGGCAUUUUGCUCAUGCCAUUAUCAC